GGCGUCAUAGCUCAGCUGGGAGAGCAACAGACUGAAGUAACAUGUUGUUAAAUAAGUCCUUGACAUCUGGAGGUCCCGUGUUCAAUCCACGGUGAUGCCA